GAUGAACGCUGGCGGCGUGCCUAAUACAUGCAAGUCGAGCGGCAGCACGGUCUUCGGACUGGUGGCGAGCGGCGGACGGCUGAGUAACGCGUAGGAAUAUACCCCAAAGUGAGGGAUAACUGCCCGAAAGGUGGCUAAUACCGCAUGUGGUCUUCGGACUAAAGCCUUCGGGCGCUUUGGGAAUAGCCUGCGUAAGAUUAGCUAGUUGGUGAGGUAAUGGCUCACCAAGGCGACGAUCUUUAGCUGGUCUGAGAGGAUGACCAGCCAGACUGGAACUGAGACACGGUCCAGACUCCUACGGGAGGCAGCAGUAGGGAAUUUUCCACAAUGGGCGAAAGCCUGAUGGAGCAACGCCGCGUGCAGGAUGAAGGCCCUCGGGUCGUAAACUGCUUUAUGUGCGAAGAAUAUGACGGUAACACAUGAAUAAGGGUCGGCUAACUACGUGCCAGCAGCCGCGGUAAU
rnacentral:rRNA from 1 species